UACAGAGGUCCCAAGCGUUGUUCGGAUUCACUGGGCGUAAAGGGUGCGUAGGUGGUUAGGUAAGUCCGAUGUGAAAUCUCCAGGCUCAACCUGGAAAUGGCAUUGGAUACUAUCUAGCUUGAGGAGUGGAGGGGGGACUGGAAUUCUCGGUGUAGCAGUGAAAUGCGUAGAUAUCGAGAGGAACACCAGUGGCGAAGGCGAGUCCCUGGACACUUCCUGACACUGAGGCACGAAAGCCAGGAGAGCGAACGGG
rnacentral:rRNA from 1 species